UCGGGAUUUUCAUCACAGAGUUUUAUAGUCUAGUCAUAACAUUAAUUAAUCAUUGCAUGAGGACACGUACAAAGAGUCGUCUCUAUCGCUAUAUACUCGCUGACAUGGAAGAGAGAGGAUAGGAGAGAGAAAAAUGUUUAUUUUGCAUGGAGUCAGCAAAACAUCGACUCUUGGUGCAUAAAACGAGAAGACAACUAGAAAAUCUGCUUUAUAUGUGUGCUGACUGUUAUCAGAGAUGCUGAUGAGAUGGAUAUGAAUUGAGAAUAUAUUAGCAUGUAAUUAUGAAAAGUCGACUUGAAAGACUAUCCUUUAUACGAGGAGUUUUUUCUACUGACGUGGUUUAAGAUAGAGCCUUAAACAUACCAUGAGGUUGUAAUCAAGGGUGUCAUAAAUUAUGCCGUCAUUUGUAUAUAUUACAUGGUAUGCAUUCAGUUUUUCGACAUGAAAUCCCAAAAAAUCACGUUCAGAUGCAAUUUUUCACACCCAGUGUCAUUUUAUUGGAGUUUCGUUUGCUUGAAAUUCGGAAACAACACUCAUAGCGUCUCAUCUUGAUGAAACCCUUGCUGAGACAGGACUGGACUAUGGGAUUUUAAACUACCGUUACAACCGUUUAGACGUUACGGCUCCCAACGUUUCGUUUUUCAGAAAAAAAAUUAAAACAUGUUUUCAAACAAAAACAAUUUACACAUGACACUUUUAUAUACGUGUCCCAUAGCGAUUCAAAAGUAAAAGUUGUAAAACAAAUUCAAAUUAAAAAUUAGGUUUAAAAAUUUUAAAUUUUAGCUUAUAAGUAAUUGUAACUGCGGAAACCUACUAACACAUGGCAGCCAUGCGUGCAUGCCCGUGAGUCGGCUGUCGGCGCUCUAGGCAUCAACUACGCGAAGGGUGACGAGGGAGACG
rnacentral:lncRNA from 1 species